rnacentral:rRNA from 1 species
CAGCAGUGGGGAAUUUUGGACAAUGGGCGCAAGCCUGAUCCAGCAAUGCCGCGUGAGUGAAGAAGGCCUUCGGGUUGUAAAGCUCUUUUGUCAGGGAAGAAACGGUGGGAGCUAAUAUCUCCUGCUAAUGACGGUACCUGAAGAAUAAGCACCGGCUAACUACGUGCCAGCAGCCGCGGUAAUACGUAGGGUGCAAGCGUUAAUCGGAAUUACUGGGCGUAAAGCGUGCGCAGGCGGUUUUGUAAGUCUGAUGUGAAAUCCCCGGGCUCAACCUGGGAAUUGCAUUGGAGACUGCAAGGCUAGAAUCUGGCAGAGGGGGGUAGAAUUCCACGUGUAGCAGUGAAAUGCGUAGAUAUGUGGAGGAACACCGAUGGCGAAGGCAGCCCCCUGGGUCAAGAUUGACGCUCAUGCACGAAAGCGUGGGGAGCAAACAGGAUUAGA